UACGGAGGGUGCAAGCGUUAUCCGGAUUCACUGGGUUUAAAGGGAGCGUAGGUGGGUGGUAAGUCAGUGGUGAAAUCCCCGAGCUUAACUUGGGAACUGCCAUUGAUACUAUCAGUCUUGAAUACUGUGGAGGUUAGCGGAAUAUGUCAUGUAGCGGUGAAAUGCUUAGAUAUGACAUAGAACACCAAUUGCGAAGGCAGCUGGCUACACAAUUAUUGACACUGAGGCUCGAAAGCGUGGGGAUCAAACAGG
rnacentral:rRNA from 1 species